UUUUUUUUUUUUUUUUUUUUCCCCACAGAAAGGAAAUAAUUCCCAUUUUCAAAUUACACCUAACAUUGUCACACUUUCUCUGUGAACUUUCCAGUCUCUGUGAGAUUUCUGAUUCAAUGGAGUAAUCAGAAUCAUUGCAACGUUUAUCUUUUCUUUCUAUUCUUGGCUUCACCACAGCUCUUAUUUCCACCAAUUACUCUUUUGGCUGGGGCUGAGCUGUGAUCCCAGCUAAAUGAUUAGUGUCACCUCCAUGAGAGCAAAGAAUUGCCUUGCAGUCUGAAUGUGGAGCUCGAAGGCUAGAAGCACUGAACAAUUUGUGUUAUUACCGACGGUAGGAGCUGCCUGCCAGACCCCCCAGGUGUCUCCCUGAGAGGCCACCUACCUCCCCAGGGCACAGAAAGGGGACAGGACAGCCAGGUUUGCAGCCACUAGCUCCUCUCCUCCCCCAGCAGUGUGACCCAGACUCUGGGUGUGAUGGAGAGUGCCUCUCCUCCUCCUCCUCCGCCAGGGCUGAUGGAGACAGCAGGCUCUUGGCAGGACCUCUGGAGGCAUGGAAAAAGGAGCUCAUGCUGGAGCAGGUCUGUUGGCAGAGGUGUGACCCCAUAAGGGACUGUGCUGAAGCAGCCUGUUCCCAAAAGACUGCACCCUCUGGAAUUGGAUCAAUGCUGGAGCAGUUAAUGAGGUGCAGUCAUGGGAAAGACUCACACUGGAAAAGUUGGUGGAGGACUUUCUCCUGCUCCUCUCUGGAGCAGAGGAGGAGUGUGAAGAAUCCUCCCCAGGUGGAGAAAGGAGCUACAGAAGGAGCCUGUGAUGAAAUGAGCACAGCUCUCAUUCCCCAUCUCCCUGCACUGCUGGGGGCAGUGACAAGGUAGAGAAAUUGGCAGUAAAGUUACACCUGGGAAAAAGAGAUGUAGGGAGAGGUGUUUGUAAGACGUGGUUUUACUUAUUAUCAUUUAACUGUGAUGUGGUUGUAAUAAAGUAAACUGAUUUCCACAAGUUUAGUCUGCUUUGCCCACGACAGUGAGUGCUGAGUGACCUCUCCCUGUUCUUAUCUUGUCCCAUAAACCUUUCAUUAUAUUUUCCCUCUCAUGUCCAUGUGAGGAUGAAGAGUGACAGAGUGAAUUUUGUGGGUACCUGGAAUCUAGCCAGGAUCAACCCAUCACACUAAAGGAGCAUAAUCACAUGGCUAUUUGGAACCUUUAUAGUUUUUUGUAGCUUUGCAAACACUUUGAAUGUCCAAAUAUAUUGUUUCAGACACAUUAAUUUGCACAUUAUUCUGCUGACAUGCUCGAAGGACUGUUACAGGUUUUCACUGUCUUUUGUUGUAGAAGGAAUCAGUUAUUCUAGUUAGCAUAUGUUCCUAAAAUAGUUGAAUAAAUAGUUUAUAAUUCCAUUUUUAGCUCACGGAAUGACCAUGAUUUUAUAUGGAACCGUGAUUUUAUAUGGAACCAUAUCAAAGUUGUUAUUUGUAGUGGGUAGGAAUGGCCUGUUACUGGGAAUGAAUGCCAGGAAAGUGCAUCAGGGGAAGGAUGACAAUCCUUGUAGUUCAGUGAAUUCCAUGUGGACAGGAAAAUUUUAUUUAUGGAACAGUCUUAGUAGCUCAGGGGAACAUUUUAGCAUAUCAAUCCUGCUAGACAGGCUGGAGAAGACAAUGUUGCCAGGGUCAUUCUUGAGUGUGUACAUUUUCCAAGGAAGGUUUCACUCUUAGCUAAUGCAGUCCUUCUUUAUAAUUCUGUAGUUAAAGAUACAAUCUAAGAGUUAAAUUAGUUAUGAAAAUUAAUAUUGAUUGUUGUUCUUAAUGCAAUAGAAGCAGAGGAUUACAUAGAAAAAGGAAAUGGUUCUGACCUUCAAAUACUGGAAAUACAGAGUUUAAAUGAAAACUGCCAUAGUUUUUGUUAAAAAGGCUUAUAGAUAGGCAGAUGCGAAACAUUUGAAGCACUUUAUGUACAUUGAAAGCGAAGUCAAAGAUUUUUUUCAUAAACUUUCUGCUUUGGCUAUGUCUAGUUUAAGCUUAGUCUUGGUAAGGUUGCACACUUCAGUGGACAAAAGGUUUGUUUGCAUUAUGUGAAUGCCCUUUGCUGCUUUUUCAUGGCUUAGGUUCUCAGAAGAAACAAAAUGUCCUUAUUGUACCUUUUCCUAAUACACAGUGGCAAAGCACUGUAUUUGUAACAGUGUGUUCUAAAACCACACACAUUUGGUAUUUAACUUAAUGAAGUGUCUUUGUGACUGAAGGUCUUGAUAGGAUUUGUGUCCCUAUUCUGUUAUUCCAGUGACUUUCUCCUAAUCAAAAGUUUCAUUGCUUAUUUAUUAUUGCUUGUUAGAUUUGCAGAAGCUGCACUUCAUAGGCUGCCACUGGUGCCACUGCAGUGAUGUGGCAGGUAGGAUUGGAGGUCAAGCCUCUACUCUUACAAAGACCUGUAAUCUGACAGGUGAAGAACUUUUCCUGUUCAGGUGCUUUUGAUGUUAUGUCAAGAUAAAAUUAGCUUGGGUUGUCUCUCACAGCCAGCCAGCUUUAAACUGAUCAUGCUCCAUCAACCUCCUAAAUUCCAAGAAAACUGCUUUCUCCAUUAGGUUGUUGUGGGUUCUCUAGCUAUGGACACCAAGAUUAUCUUUUAUGGCCAAUUCCCCUCCCCAGCCAGGUGUUGCUCUCAUAUCAGAAAUUCAACCUGAAACCUGCUGGGUGUCACAAAGUACAGCCUUCAGCCUGCCACUUGUGCAUCAGGUGCUUUUUGCUGUAUACCAUAUAAUGGCCUGAUUUAGUAUCCCUUAUGUCUCACAAGUCACUUUUUUUUCAACCGUGCUAUUUCCAAUUUGGUUGGCAUUUUUCUGGUGAACUGAAUCUGGUGAGUCUCAAGCUGCAUCAAGGGAAAUAUAGGUUGGAUAUUAGGAAAAAUGUUUUUUACAGAAAGAGUGAUAAAGUUCUGGAGUGGUCUGCCCUGGGAGGUGAUGGCGACACCAUCCCUGGAUGUGCUUAAAAAAAGACUGGAUGUGGCACUUGGUGCCAUGGUUUAGUUGAGGUGUGAGGGCACGGGUGGGACUCGAUGAUCUUUAAGGUCUCUUCUAACCCAGUUAUUCUGUGAGUUCUGUGAAUUCUGUGAAUCUCCUUUACAGCUCUCACAGAGGAUUCUAAAUUGAUAUUAAUAGAAUGUGUACCUAUAAAGCCUAUUUAUAUUACCACAAAAGUAUGGAGUGCCUGUAAGGCAAACAGAAGUCUAGGCUAAUAUUUCCAUGUGUUCAUUUCAGUCCCAGGUUAAAGUUGUAUCUGGGAGGAAGAGAGGGAAAGGUGUCACUUUCUGUUUUAGCAAGUUUUUAGUGACUGCAUAGAAAUGAAAACUCCAUAAAGCUGCUCAAGUUAAGGGAGUGAUUGGUAAAUACAUCUUCUAGAAGCUAGAGGGCACAGGAGCCACAGAAAGCUUCUGGUAUAACUCAGUUACCAGGAGGUAUGAGUGAGCCAGAGUAAAUUUUGCUUCUUUUCACAUAAAAUGGCACUUGUUACUCAAGUUCAAACAGAUUUUUUUUUUCUCUUUCUGAAGAGAAGUGGCUGAAAAUCAGAAUUGUCUUUCCGGAUUUUUAUCAGUUUUGCUGAUGGUCUAAAUGAAAAUAAAUUAUUCAUAUUGCUAUUGAUAUAAAUGAAGAUUCCAAUAUAGGCUUCCCAUUUUUAAUCCAGAUUAGUUCAGUAAUAAUAAAAUUUUCUGCAGGAGCUCCUGUCAUUAACCAUUUAUAGAGAACUACUGAAAACUGUUUUAACAGAAAAGGUCAAAGGUACGAUCCUGGGCAGAGAAGUGUUACUGUCGAGCCUAAUAACCACAGAUUUCAGAUUUUCACUUGUCUAGGGGAAGUAUUUGAGAACUUUUCCUCACCCUUACAGAGUAUUUCUGUGAUAGUCCUGGUGUACAAGCCAUGUGUCUUACCAAUGUAAUACCUGUGUGAGGAAGACAUUGGGAAACUUUUUGGUACAGAACAAUCCUUAUUUGGUUUGCAUUUUGAAAUUAAGUUCACAGACCUUACCCUAAGUGUGUAAGUAGAGCAGAAUAUCCUGACCUGCUCUUUGGAAGGCCUCCCUAAAUUCCAGCAUAUUUUGUUUUCAGUUCCAAGUAAGCCAGUGAGAGAAGAGAACUUUGCUGGUCUGCAAAGGAUACAAGAUGUAUGUAUGAAUUAAUUUAUGCUGGGUUUCUCAGGGCAAUUGGUUUCUCUCUCAAGCAGAAAAUCAGAGGUACUGUGAGUUUGUAGGACUCCUGCAUCACAGAAAGUAUUCCCUCCAGCAUUUGGGAAUUUUACAUUUUCCACAGGCUUUAUGCCUAAAGUCAGGUGGGUGCUGAACCACAGGAUGAUAUUCUAGUAAACAAACCAGCACUGGUGGCGUAAUGAAUCUCUGCUGAAUUAUUCAUUGGGUCCUGAAUGAUGCAGAGAGAGUUUUCAUAGUGAACAGCCCUGAAGAUGAGAGCAGUGCCAGGCACAGCCCUGUGCCUGUGCUGUGCACCUGGCCUGUUUUCUCAGGUAAACACCUGCAAAAAUUCAUGUCUUUACAUAAAAGGACUGGAAAAAUGUUUGGUAGCUGUCAACCAAAUUAAUCUUGAAAUUUAUGACUCAUUUGGAAUAGUCAAUCUAAUUCCAAAAAAUCCCACUUAAGUGCAGGAUCUAGUGCCAUGGACAUAACAUUGAAAGCAUGUUCAAGCACUUUGCUACAAAGAAAUGGACUUGUGCACAUUUUUAAAGGAAGCACAUCUUCAAAGAGAAGCCUCAUCCCAAAUAUGUAACACAACAGUAAAUCCAUGAGAAGUUUCCACCAGCUGUGCUGUGUUAUGCUGCAGCAUUCUGCUUUCCAGAAUGGAGAACAAGUUUUUGUCAGCUGGCCUCAGUACCCUGACACUGUGAUGGUGACUUUGCAGGAGGGAGUGGGACACACCUGGCAGCUGUGUAACAAGGAAAGUUGGAAAAUUCCAAGCUCUCAUAGGUACUAAGUUGUAUCAAAAUCGGUUUCCUACUAGGGGAAAAUUGAGGAAUUAGCUGCUCUUGUUUUUUUCAGGAGCUGCCUGUCAUCUGGCAAUGAGUUUGAGAAAGAAGCAGGGGAGCCAUAACGGGUGUAAUAUGGCACAUGGCAAGGAACUGAGAACAGAAAGUUUAAUAAACACCAUGGAAAUCUGUAGGAAAACAACUUCUGCGAGUUCUGCUGCCUGUACAGAGAUGUGGACUUUGCAGCUUCUCCUCAGUGAGAACAGAUGUUAGCUGGAGAGGUGACCAUUUUUCCAGAUUAAAAAGCAAGCUGUAGUAGUGACUUUAUCAUGGGACAGAAAAUGAGACCACGGAGCAAACAAGGGGCUGAGCUAGAAGGGGAGCCUGGAAUUAUGGCCAACCUCCCCCAAAGGCACUGCUUUGAGCUGCAGAAGGUGACUGCUGUGCCUGCUGUCACCUACACACAAAGAUACACCAGCAGCUUGUAAAUUCUGUUUAAAAUAGAGGAGUCAGUGAGCUCUACACUCACGAGCAUUACUUCAGAAACUUUACUGAAACAGUCUCCAAAGCCUGUGGGCUGUAACCAUAAGCAGUGAACAAAAUGUGCUGGUUUGACUGAAAACCUGUAAUUUGUUAGAUUAGCAGUUUGCAGAGAUAGAAUUUAGCACUAAGUGAGGGUUGCUAACUGAAAAAAAAAGAGAAAUAGAUAUUGAUUUGUCUAAUUAUAUGCAGGGUUUAUUUAAACUGGAGAUUAGUCUGCUUUAAAGAAAAGAAGUUGUAUUGAGUGAAUAUGGUGAAUAUGUACUGAGCACAUAUUGCAUUAUGUGCUCAGUGCAUUUAUUGUUGGAAGCAUGGGAUAUUGUUUAUUUGGUUUUCAAAUGUAUAAAAAUAAAUGCAUUUUUGAUACCAAAUUAUCUUAUCUUUGAAAAAGUAUAGGUGACCCCAGGUUAUGUCUGUGUUGCUAUCAAAGUAGCAUUUGACUUAAUGAAGGAGAUUUUACAUGCCCCACAGUCAUUGGUGCUUCUGAGGAGAGUGACAAGGACUUUGCUGCUUUCUCUGUGGAAAGUGUGCUGGAUCUGCAUGACAAACAGAGGGAGAUGGAGCCACAUCUUUUUGGAAGCCAUGCAGGGGUGUUUUCCUUGUGCCACUUGGUCUCCAUGAAUCCUGGGAAAUGAAGUCUGGCAAAUGACAGAUUUCUGCUGGAUUUUUUUCUCUCUAUUUUCAUUAACCUCUGAAUAGAUAUUAUUUUAAUUAAAAUAAUCUUGACAGCACCUAUGAAAAAGCUGUUCGGGUUGUAACAGCAAUUAGGUGUGUUGUCAAAGAUGAUAAGCAGCCUGGUAUCACAGGAAGGAAAUUAACACUCUGACCAAUAACGGAACAGAAAUCUUAAUCCAGUGCUUUUUGCCUCUUAGGAACUCUUCAAAAUGGAUGGAUUUUGGAGAACAGGCAGUUUUAGAACAAGGCAGUAAAGCAAUCAGUGCCAUAAAACAUCUCCAGUUUAAAAGUCAAUGUCAUACUGGUGUAAUAGUGGCUGAUGGCAAGCCAGCAAGAAAUGUGAUGUUAAUUAGACAUUAACAGUGCACAGCCUUGAUGAUUUUCCUAUAUUUUGGAUAUCAGAAUUAUUGGGAAUUGUAUUCAACAUCAGGUGAUGGAGCAUAACAGUGAUCUGUAUCAGUGCCAGGGGUCUGUUUGAGUCCUCCAUGGCAGGGUGAAGGGCUGGGAAUGCUGGCAGCCUUUCCCCGAUGUGAGGAACAUAAGGUUUGGGAGCCUUCCUUUCUAGGUUGUGUCACCACAAGUCUUUUAUUUCUUAGGAGCUGUUCUGAGCACAUAAUUCACAGGUCUUUUGGUAAAUUGCAAACGCCCUAAAUUAUAGUGUUUUGCUCAUCUUUAAAGCACCAUUCAUCCUCUAGGUGACCUGCGUCACACUGGGGCGAGCAGAAUUAAAAUCAGGCCCUCUGUGCUGGCCCAGGUAGGGAGGCACUGUCCUCUGCCCAGGAGGUGCAGGUGGAGCUGCUGUGGGUGCAAGAACUGGAUUGCUCUGCCCAGCACAAUCACAGGGGGCUGGAAAGAAAGGCUGCCCAGGAAGGAGCAAGCUGUAAAAACAGCCACAGUUUUACUAUGUGAGAGGAUGGCAGGGGAUUUAACUAAAGGCUGGAGUCAGAUGGAAUCUUGGAAGAAGAGGACUGGGAAUAGUUCAUCUGUAGGUUCCAGAGCAGAUAUGAGCAGGCUUGUAGGGCAUGGAAUGGAUGAAGCUGUGCUUAUUCAUAAAGUCUGAGGUAAAAAUGAGGCUGAAGAAGGUUUGUGGUUUCCUGGGUACCCCUUUGGCUCUUCCUGAGGUAGAUGCUUCUCUACACGUCACCAGUGAAGGAUUUCCAGGUAUCCCAUAGAAAAGGAGUAAAUGGAGACACUCAGCUCCUAUGCCAACAAGAAAAGGGCUGACAAGUUUAAUAGAGACAAUUCUGCCUUGUCCUUAUCCUGCCUUCCCAGAUGCAAUCCAAGCAGAACUGUUCCUUGGAAUUUUGGGCUCAUUUUGCCCUUCUUCUUUACCCCUGUGCUCCAGCUUGUGCUCCUCUCCUUCACAUUUUCUUGUCCCACUCUCAGCAAACAUGAGAAUUCAAGCAUGUCAUGCUCCUGGUUACAAAAACCAGCGCUGUAAUGUGCCUGAGAUGUUUCAGAGGGAAGCACUUCCUUGUCCUGCUGAAGCUUUAGUAGCCCACUGUCAUUUCUAGUAAUGUGUGGGUAGCAAUCUACAAUGUGCACCCAUCCACACAGGGUUUUCUUUAAACUCCCUUUUUCAUCCCUAAAACGAAAACAAAUCUCUGCAGUUGGUGGAAAGCAUCUCUCUGCAUCUCAGAAGAGCUGUGAUUUGAGGAAGAAGAUAAUUUGCAAGCUAUUAAAGAAAGAACUUAUUUCUUGUUUGCUUUGCAGUGUGAGAAGAUUGGAUCCUGCUACUCCAGAGGCUAAUUCAAAAUGUAGUGUGAGAACUUUCCUACCCCAAGGACAUUUCCACUCUAAGGGGAACGUAAAAAAUCCAAGAAAAAAGCAACAUCUUGCAGCUCUCUCAUGUCUUCGAGUGCAUGUGGAUGAAGGCUUUGACCUGAGGGAUGAUGGCAGCCAGCACCAGCUCACUUUUUGGACUAAAUCAGGAGGGAGAUUUCUACAGCUUGAGGAGCAGUGUGGAAGGCAGCCCAGCAGGCUGCAGGGGAUGGGGAUGCCCUAAGAGUGAGGCUGGGCAGGUCCUGGUGACAGGGACUGAGAGCUGCAAAGAGGAGUAAAAAUCAGUGUAUAAUGGGAACGGGCAGCCAUGGAGCACAUCAGGGGAGGAUGGAUGAGAGCAGAAUAGCAGCCACUGUGAGAAGCACAAUGAAAGUUGGGAGCAGAGGAAGUUGGAGCAGAGAGGAGAAGGCAGCAAGGACAAAAUUUCAUCCUCUUCAAUGAUGACAGAGUUUUGGGGAAUUGAACUAAAAGCUUCCCUUCUGAGGGAAGUCUCAGAUCUGAAGAGCUCCACAGAGCAGUAAUGAUGUACACUGAGUUUCAGAGUCAGCUUCCAGUCUGAAUGUACAGGGGAAAUGGCCAUACUUUCUUACUGAUAGUAUAGGAGCAAAAAUUAAAUGCAAUAGAAGCCAA
ensembl:lncRNA